AAAUUGAAGAGUUUGAUCAUGGCUCAGAUUGAACGCUGGCGGCAGGCCUAACACAUGCAAGUCGAACGGUAACAGGAAGCAGCUUGCUGCUUUGCUGACGAGUGGCGGACGGGUGAGUAAUGUCUGGGAAACUGCCUGAUGGAGGGGGAUAACUACUGGAAACGGUAGCUAAUACCGCAU
rnacentral:rRNA from 1 species